rnacentral:rRNA from 1 species
AGGGAAUCUUCGGCAAUGGACGGAAGUCUGACCGAGCAACGCCGCGUGAGUGAAGAAGGUUUUCGGAUCGUAAAACUCUGUUGCCAGAGAAGAAAGCUAAGGAGAGUCACUGCUCUUUGGUUGACGGUAUCUGAGAAGAAAGCCCCGGCUAACUACGUGCCAGCAGCCGCGGUAAUACGUAGGGGGCAAGCGUUGUCCGGAAUUAUUGGGCGUAAAGCGCGCGCAGGCGGCCGAGUAAGUCUGGUGUUUAAACCUGGGGCUCAACCUCGGGUCGCAUUGGAAACUGCUUGGCUGGAGUGCAGGAGAGGAAAGUGGAAUUCCACGUGUAGCGGUGAAAUGCGUAGAGAUGUGGAGGAACACCAGUGGCGAAGGCGACUUUCUGGCCUGUAACUGACGCUGAGGCGCGAAAGCGUGGGGAGCAAAC